rnacentral:rRNA from 1 species
GAUGAACGCUGGCGGCGUGCUUAACACAUGCAAGUCGAACGAAGCACUUUAUUUGAUUUCCUUCGGGACUGAUUAUUUUGUGACUGAGUGGCGGACGGGUGAGUAACGCGUGGGUAACCUGCCUUGUACAGGGGGAUAACAGUUGGAAACGGCUGCUAAUACCGCAUAAGCGCACAGCAUCGCAUGAUGCAGUGUGAAAAACUCCGGUGGUAUAAGAUGGACCCGCGUUGGAUUAGCUAGUUGGUGAGGUAACGGCCCACCAAGGCGACGAUCCAUAGCCGACCUGAGAGGGUGACCGGCCACAUUGGGACUGAGACGCGGCCCAAACUCCUACGGGAGGCAGCAGUGGGGAAUAUUGCACAAUGGGCGAAAGCCUGAUGCAGCGACGCCGCGUGAGCGAAGAAGUAUUUCGGUAUGUAAAGUUCUAUCAGCAGGGAAGAUAAUGACGGUACCUGACUAAGAAGCACCGGCUAAAUACGUG